rnacentral:rRNA from 1 species
GGCAGUGCGCAGCUAUACAUGCAGUCGAGCGGACAGAUGGGAGCUUGCUCCCUGAUGUUAGCGGCGGACGGGUGAGUAACACGUGGGUAACCUGCCUGUAAGACUGGGAUAACUCCGGGAAACCGGGGCUAAUACCGGAUGGUUGUUUGAACCGCAUGGUUCAAACAUAAAAGGUGGCUUCGGCUACCACUUACAGAUGGACCCGCGGCGCAUUAGCUAGUUGGUGAGGUAACGGCUCACCAAGGCAACGAUGCGUAGCCGACCUGAGAGGGUGAUCGGCCACACUGGGACUGAGACACGGCCCAGACUCCUACGGGAGGCAGCAGUAGGGAAUCUUCCGCAAUGGACGAAAGUCUGACGGAGCAACGCCGCGUGAGUGAUGAAGGUUUUCGGAUCGUAAAGCUCUGUUGUUAGGGAAGAACAAGUACCGUUCGAAUAGGGCGGUACCUUGACGGUACCUAACCAGAAAGCCACGGCUAACUACGUGCCAGCAGCCGCGGUAAUACGUAGGUGGCAAGCGUUGUCCGGAAUUAUUGGGCGUAAAGGGCUCGCAGGCGGUUUCUUAAGUCUGAUGUGAAAGCCCCCGGCUCAACCGGGGAGGGUCAUUGGAAACUGGGGAACUUGAGUGCAGAAGAGGAGAGUGGAAUUCCACGUGUAGCGGGUGAAUGCGUAGAGAUGUGGAGGACACCAGUGGCGAAGGCGACUCUCUGGUCUGUAUCUGACGCUUGAGGAGCAAAUCUUG